GCAUGUGCCUGAGAGCUGAUGGUGACCGCACUCGCGGGAACAGGGUGAUCCUAUGCUGCCAAGAAAAGCCUCGACGCGAGGUUCUAGCCGCCCGUACCCCAAACCGACUCAGGUGGUCAGGUAGAGAAUACCAAGGCGAUCGAGACAAUCGUGGUUAAGGAACUCGGCAAAAUGCCCCCGUAACUUCGGGAGAAGGGGGGCCUGAUGUGUGAACCGGCAUGCCCGGGGCAGCACGGAGGGCCGCAGAGACCAGGGAGAAGCGACUGUUUACUAAAAACACAGGUCCGUGCGAAGUCGCAAGACGAUGUAUACGGACUGACGCCUGCCCGGUGCUGGAAGGUUAAGAGGACGGGUCAGCAACGCAAGUUGCGAAGCUCAGAAUUUAAGCCCCAGUAAACGGCGGUGGUAACUAUAACCAUCCUAAGGUAGCGAAAUUCCUUGUCGGGUAAGUUCCGACCUGCACGAAUGGCGUAACGACUUCUCCGCUGUCUCAACCGCGAACUCGGCGAAAUUGCACUACGAGUAAAGAUGCUCGUUACGCGCAGCAGGACGGAAAGACCCCGGGACCUUUACUAUAGCUUGGUAUUGGUGUUCGGUGCGGUUUGUGUAGGAUAGGUGGGAGACUGUGAAGCGGGCACGCCAGUGUCCGUGGAGUCGUCGUUGAAAUACCACUCUGACCGCUUCGGAUGUCUAACCUCGGUCCGUGAUCCGGACCAGGGACAGUGCCUGGUGGGUAGUUUAACUGGGGCGGUUGCCUCCUAAAAUGUAACGGAGGCGCCCAAAGGUUCCCUCAGCCUGGUUGGCAAUCAGGUGGCGAGUGCAAGUGCACAAGGGAGCUUGACUGUGAGACCGACAGGUCGAGCAGGGACGAAAGUCGGGACUAGUGAUCCGGCGGUGGCUUGUGGAAGCGCCGUCGCUCAACGGAUAAAAGGUACCCCGGGGAUAACAGGCUGAUCUUGCCCAAGAGUCCAUAUCGACGGCAUGGUUUGGCACCUCGAUGUCGGCUCGUCGCAUCCUGGGGCUGGAGUAGGUCCCAAGGGUUGGGCUGUUCGCCCAUUAAAGCGGUACGCGAGCUGGGUUUAGAACGUCGUGAGACAGUUCGGUCCCUAUCCGCUGCGCGCGCAGGAAACUUGAGAAGGGCUGUCCCUAGUACGAGAGGACCGGGACGGACGAACCUCUGGUGUGCCAGUUGUUCCGCCAGGAGCACGGCUGGUUGGCUACGUUCGGAAGGGAUAACCGCUGAAAGCAUCUAAGCGGGAAGCCUGCUUCAAGAUGAGGUUUCCACGCCCC
rnacentral:rRNA from 1 species